UACAGGGGGGGCAAGCGUUGUUCGGAAUUACUGGGCGUAAAGCGCACGUAGGCGGAUAUUUAAGUCGGGGGUGAAAUCCCGGGGCUCAACCCCGGAACUGCCUUCGAUACUGGGUAUCUUGAGUUCGGAAGAGGUGACUGGAAUUCCUGGUGUAGAGGUGAAAUUCGUAGAUAUUCGCAAGAACACCAGUGGCGAAGGCGGCUUACUGGUCCGGUUCUGACGCUGAGGCGCGAAAGCGUGGGGAGCAAACGGG
rnacentral:rRNA from 1 species